rnacentral:rRNA from 1 species
AUAACGACUCUCGGCAACGGAUAUCUCGGCUCUCGCAUCGAUGAARAACGUAGCGAAAUGCGAUACUUGGUGUGAAUUGCAGAAUCCCGUGAACCAUCSAGUCUUUGAACGCAAGUUGCGCCCCAAGCCUUCUGGCCGAGGGCACGUYYGCCUGGG